GGGUGGUUAGCUCAGCGGUAGAGCACUGCCUUCACACGGCAGGGGUCAGGGAUUCGAUCUCCUUACCACCCACCA
rnacentral:tRNA from 1 species